AGAGUUUGAUCAUGGCUCAGGACGAACGCUGGCGGCGUGCUUAACACAUGCAAGUCGAACGGAAAGGCCCCUUCGGGGGUACUCGAGUGGCGAACGGGUGAGUAACACGUGGGUGAUCUGCCCUGCACUUUGGGAUAAGCCUGGGAAACUGGGUCUAAUACCGAAUAGGACCGCAUGCUUCAUGGUGUGUGGUGGAAAGCUUUUGCGGUGUGGGAUGGGCCCGCGGCCUAUCAGCUUGUUGGUGGGGUAAUGGCCUACCAAGGCGACGACGGGUAGCCGGCCUGAGAGGGUGUCCGGCCACACUGGGACUGAGAUACGGCCCAGACUCCUACGGGAGGCAGCAGUGGGGAAUAUUGCACAAUGGGCGCAAGCCUGAUGCAGCGACGCCGCGUGGGGGAUGACGGCCUUCGGGUUGUAAACCUCUUUCAGUAUCGGCGAAGCUCCAGGAUUUUUCUUGGGGUGACGGUAGGUACAGAAGAAGCACCGGCCAACUACGUGCCAGCAGCCGCGGUAAUACGUAGGGUGCGAGCGUUGUCCGGAAUUACUGGGCGUAAAGAGCUCGUAGGUGGUUUGUCACGUUGUCCGUGAAAACUCACAGCUUAACUGUGGGCGUGCGGGCGAUACGGGCAGACUGGAGUACUGUAGGGGAGACUGGAAUUCCUGGUGUAGCGGUGGAAUGCGCAGAUAUCAGGAGGAACACCGGUGGCGAAGGCGGGUCUCUGGGCAGUAACUGACGCUGAGGAGCGAAAGCGUGGGGAGCGAACAGGAUUAGAUACCCUGGUAGUCCAA
rnacentral:rRNA from 1 species